CUCUCUAUUUUCUCAGGAACUCUCCCGAACCCACACUCUCUCCAUAUCAUGAUUUCAAAAUCUUUCCAAUUCCUCUCUAACACUAAUGUAAUAUAUUCAUGGAGAAAAUAAGCUUCUUCCAAUGAGUUAAUUAGAGAGUCCAUUGAAAGGAAUUAAAGGCAAAAGCUUCAACAGUUGGGUUAGUGAAAGGAAAGAGGGUUUGAAACCCACAAGAUUUAAAGAGCUCCAUCGCCAUCUUCAUCUUCAAAUAACUAAGAAAUAUAAAGGUACCGUUCGCCACCACGAAGAGAUAAGGUGGUAUAGCCGUUCGCCACAACGAAGAGAGAAUGUGGUAUAGCCGUUCGCCACCACGAAGAGAUAACGUGGUAUAGCCGUUCGCCACCACGAAGAGAUAAGGUGGUAUAGCCGUUCGCCACCACGAAGAGAUAAGGUGGUAUAGCUGUUCGCCACAACGAAGACAUAAUGUGGUAUAUCCGUUCGCCACCACGAAGAGAUAAGGUGGUAUAGCCGUUCGCCACAACGAAGAGAUAAUGUGGUAUAUCCGUUCGCCACUACGAAGAGAUAAGGUGGUAUCCGUUCGCCACAACGAAGAGAUAAUGUAGUUAGUACCGUUCACCACAAUGAAGAGACAAUGUGGUUUAUGUCAACAUAGUGGGGAAAGAUAAGUGAUAUUAGAUAUGACGAACUUAUUAUUAGUUUUAAGUGUAGGUGUGCGUGUAGAACUUCGUAUAUGCUUAACAAGUGGUUCCUGUUAAAGAUUUUAUCAAAUAUUGUUUCCCUUGAUGUUGUAAAAUAGUAUUUUUGGUAUAAGUUUUCAAAGUACAAUCGUUUUAGUGUGCAUAAUGAAAUGAAAUAGCUUUAUAUAUUUUGCUGAUAGUUAACCAACACUUAGAGAACUACGUGGCUCUGAUUCCCUAAUUGUUUAGGGAUACGUAGGACCAGGGACCCUCCCUGUCGAGCUAUAAUUUCAGUAACUGUAUAUUUUAAA